UACGUAGGGUGCGAGCGUUGUCCGGAAUUACUGGGCGUAAAGAGCUCGUAGGUGGUUUGUCGCGUUGUUCGUGAAAACCGGAGGCUUAACCUUCGGCGUGCGGGCGAUACGGGCAGACUGGAGUACUGCAGGGGAGACUGGAAUUCCUGGUGUAGCGGUGGAAUGCGCAGAUAUCAGGAGGAACACCGAUGGCGAAGGCAGGUCUCUGGGCAUUAACUGACGCUGAGGAGCGAAAGCAUGGGGAGCGAACAGG
rnacentral:rRNA from 1 species